CAGUCAAUCACUCCAUUUAACCCUAAUAGAUACCAGCAACUUGGAGAACAGACAGGUCUCUCAAACAAGAGGGAAGAUUCCAAUCAGCAAUUUGUGGCGAGUGUUUUGACAGAGCCCCAGGGUACAUCUGUUGUGCAGUCUGCCUCAAGCACUCUGGCACAGUCCUAUGGCACCAUGACAACCACCCAACCAACCAGACAGACGGACGGAGAUACAUGAAUGGGGAGAGAGGGGAUAAAUAGCCUGAGAAUAUUGUUGGAAUAAUUUAUCGUAAAUGUCUUUUAAGUGUAUUUUGGUAUAAAGCCAUUCUAUGAAGAAUUUUUAUAUUUCAAAGUAAAAUGGGAUAGCAAGAGUUUCUAAGUUUUUAUUUUUGAUGAUUUUUUCUCAAA